CAGCUGGGCAUAAAGCCUAUUGCUAAGGAGAUCCUCAUCCAGCUCGAUUUUUUUAGAGAGCAGCAGUUGCAGACUUCACCCCAGACCCAACACAUUUUGGGCUCCCACUUUCAACUAUUGAGGAGCUACAAUGUUUGUAGGAGACAUUAAAUAAUCCAGAUGAGAAGAAGAAUUUGACUGUUUUUCCUGGAAUGGUCGGAGACAAGACUCUUAAAGACACCGUGGGGUGGGUCCUGAAAAAAACAAUGAACUCUUCGUGGCGAGACUCAUCAAUUGAAGUGGGGUCAACUGAAAGCCUGCAUUCAAAGGGCUCACUUUGAAAAGUGUGGUUUUGGAUGCAGUCCGCCGGAAUGCCCUGACCAAAGAUAACACAGAAAAGGAGAUAGAGCUCCUCAUCACCAGGUGGUCGGUGCUAGCAUAUGACAGGGAUGGUGGCCGAAUCCAGACAAUAGACAGACAAUGAAUUAAAAUGUUUUUAAUUAAAAAAUGUUGAUUUUUGGAAAAUUCGUAUUUGAACUGAUUGUGUGUGUGUGUGUGUGUGCACCUGGUAAUUAUCACGUUGUGUCCCCACAAAGAUAGGAAUACCAGUAUUUUUGUGACCUUGUGUCCCCAUGAGGAAACAAGCUUAUAAAUCAAACAAAAUGAUGUUUCUUGUAAAUGUGAAGUAGGAGAAGGGUUUCUGUGAUG